AUUCCAUAUGGGAAUGUCGGGAUUCCAUGUGGGAUCGAGUUGGGAUUCCAUACGGGAACGUUGGGAUUCCAUGUGGGAUCAAGGCGGAAUUCCAUGUGGGAAUAUCAGAGUUCCAUGUGAGAAUGUCGGGAUUCCAUGUGGGAUCAAGUCGGGAUUCCAUACGGGAAUGUCGGGAUUCCAUGUGGGAAUGCCAGGAUUUCAUGUGGAAUCAAGUCGGGAUUCUGUGUAGGAGUGUCGGGAUUCCAUGUGGGAUCGAGUCAGAAUUCCAUACGGGAAUGUCGGGAUUCCAUGUGGGAAUGUCGGAAUUCCAUGUGGGAUCAAGGCGGAAUUCCAUGUGGGAGUGUUGGGAUUCCAUGUGGGAUUGAGUCAGGAUUCUAUCUGGGAAUGUGUUGGGAUUCCAUGUGGGAUCAAGUCAGAAUUCCAUGUGGGAUCAAGGUGGAAUUCCAUACGGGAAUGUCGGGAUUCCUUAUGGGAACGUUGGGAUUCCAUGUGGGAGUGUCGGGAUUUCAUGUGGGAUCGAGUCAGGAUUCCAUCUGGGAAUGUGUUGGGAUUCCAUGUGGGAUCAAGGCGGAAUUCCAUGUGGGAAUGUCGGGAUUCCAUGUGGGAAUGUCAGGAUUCCAUGUGGGAAUAUCAGAGUUCCAUGUGAGAAUGUUGGGAUUCCAUGUGGGAUCGAGUCGGGAUUCCAUGUGGCAAUGUUUGGGAUCCCGUGUGGGAAUGCCAAGAUCCCCCAUGGAAUCCUGUGUGGGAAUGCCCAAAUUCCAUGUGGGAAUGUCGGGGAUCCCACGUGGGAAUGCCCAAAUUCCAUGUGGGAUCCCAUGCGGGAAUGUUGGGACCCUGUGUGGGAAUGCCCAGAUUCAGGGUGGCAACGCUGGGAUCCCACAAAUUCCAUGUGGGAAUGUCGGGAUCCCACUUGGGAAUGUCAGGAUCCCACAUGGGAAUGCCCAAAUUCCACGUGGAAAUGUCGGGAUCCCACCUGGGAAUGUUGGGAUCUCCUGUGGGAAUGUCGGGAUCCCGUGUGGGAAUGCCAAGAUCCUUCAUGGAAUCCUGUGUGGGAAUGCCCAAAUUCCACGUGGGAAUGCUGGGAUCCCAUGCGGGAAUGCCCAAAUUCCAUAUGGAAAUGUCGGGAUCCCACAUGGAAAUGUUGGGAUUCCCUGUGGAAAUAUCAGGAUCCCACCUGGGAAUGUUGGGAUCUCCUGUGGGAACGUUGGGAUCCCGUGUGGGAAUGUUGGGAUCCCACACAGAAUCCUGUGUGGGAACGCCCAAAUUCCACGUAGGAAUGCCGGAAUCCCACGCGGGAAUGUCGGGAUCCUGUGUGAGAAUGCCAGGAUCCCAUGUGAGAAUGCCAGGAUCCCAUGUGGGAAUGUCAGGAUCCCAUGUGGGAAUGUCAGGAUCCCAGAUAGGAAUGCCCAAAUUCCAUAUGGGAUCCCAUGCGGGAAUGCCCAAAUUCCAUGUGGGAAUGUCAAGAUCCCGUGUGGGAAUGUUGGGAUCCCGUGUGGGAAUGCCUGAAUUCGAUAUGGGAUCCCAUGUGGAAAUGUCUGGAUCCCCUGUGGGAAUGCCCAAAUCCCAUGUGGGAAUGCCGGAAUCCCAUAUGGGAUCCCGUGUGGGAAUGCCCAAAUUCCAUAUGGGAAUGCCAAGAUCCCCUGUGGGAACGUCGGGACCCUGUGUGGGACUGUCCAAAUUCCACGUGGGAACGCCGGGAUCCCAGUGGGAAUGUCAGGAUUCCACGUGGGAACGCCAGGAUCCCACGUGGGAACGUCAGGAUUCCGUGUGGGAACAUCGGGAUUCCACGUGGGAACGUCGGGACCCUGUGUGGGAUUGUCCAAAUUCCACGUGGGAACGCCGGGAUCCCUUUGGACCGUGUGCUCUCUGUCUCUCUCCACGCUCGGAUCAGAUCUCUCUCGAUAAACCACGG
rnacentral:lncRNA from 1 species